rnacentral:misc_RNA from 1 species
UCAAACUUGGUCAUUUAGAGGAAGUAAAAGUCGUAACAAGGUUUCCGUAGGUGAACCUGCGGAAGGAUCAUUACCGAAUGACGUGCACCUCUUUGUAGUGGGCCAACUGAUUGCUCUUCGCCCGCCGAUCGCACCCACACGUGUGAUUAUGGGUCGAGUCGGUCAGAGCGGUCCACUGUGACCCCUUUUUUUCCACCAAGCAAACCUGUCAUCGUAUGAUUGUGGCAUCCUCUUGUUGGUUGCCCUGCAAUAUAUAAACAUGAAUAUAACUUUCAACAACGGAUCUCUUGGCUCUCGCAUCGAUGAAGAACGCAGC